ACAACCUCAACCCAGCCAGAAAGUACUUCCCCCAGUGGGAGGCUCCCACCCUGGUAGAUGAACAGCCCCUGGAGAACUACCUGGAUAUGGAGUACUUCGGCACUAUCGGCAUUGGAACUCCUGCCCAGGAUUUCACCGUCAUCUUUGACACCGGCUCCUCCAACCUGUGGGUGCCCUCAGUCUACUGCUCCAGUCUCGCCUGCACCAACCACAACCGCUUCAACCCGGAGGAUUCCUCCACCUACCAAUCCACCAGCGAGACAGUCUCCAUCGCCUAUGGCACCGGCAGCAUGACAGGCAUCCUCGGAUACGACACUGUCCAGGUGGGCACCUGCAGGCUGCCGCUGCAUCCCCCCCAUCAGGCACACCCAAAAUAAGCUUAUUCCAGCAAGAUGAGUCUUGGUGAUCACAAAAGUAACCUGAUUGGGGGUGCAGGGUCGGGGAGAAGCAGCAGAGAUGUCACAGACAUUGCUAGCUUGGGUGGCAGUCAGUAAAAGGGUGGGAUGCCAGGAGCCAUAAGCCAGCCUCAGCUCCACACAAGCAGAAACUUAUGGAGUGUGGGGAGUCUCAAUA
rnacentral:sRNA from 1 species